AUCUGGGCGGCGGAAUUCAGGAUGGCUGGCGGGCUUCGCGCUUGUCCGGUCGUUUGAUAUUUCCGUCGCCGUGUCGGACGUCGCGACCUGUUUGUCGUCGGUCCAUGCUCGGAGGAAUCGCGAUCGAGUUCGUUGCGCGGUGCGUUUCGGCGUGCCGAGCGGCGAAGACGCGGCUCUCUGGCUGACGGCGGACAGUAAGCAACGGUGUCCGGCGUCGUGUCUCGCACUCGACGUCGGUGCCGGUCUGCGACGAUUUCUUCGGGCCUCUUUCCGACCCGUCUUGAAACACGGACCAAGGAGUCUAACAUGCGCGCGAGUCGCGGGGUUUCGAGCGUACCACGGUACGCUCGUUACUUGCGAAACCCGUACGUUGAAGGCGUAAUGAAAGUGAACAGGGAAGAUGGCGUUCCGAGUCCACGUACCGUGAUCGAGUGUCGCGGCCGGACGUCCGCACUCCCGGGGCGUCUCAAUGGCUCGUCGCGGAUGCGGACGGUCGUCUCUCGGGGCGGCCGUCGGUCUGCGACGGACCGA
rnacentral:rRNA from 1 species